rnacentral:tRNA from 1 species
AGCUCAACUGGUAGAGCUUGGGACUCUUAAUCCCAAGGUCCUGGGUUCAAAUCCCAUG